rnacentral:rRNA from 1 species
GUACACGCUGUGACUAGCAUAUCAAUAAGCGGAGGAAAAGAAACUAACAAGGAUUCCCCUAGUAACGGCGAGUGAAGCGGGAAGAGCUCAAAUUUGAAAUCUUAAAGGGUUUCCCUUUACGAAUUGUAGUUUAAAGAAGUGUUUUCUGUUGAGGUUUUGGUAAAAGUUCUUUGGAAUAGGACAUCAUAGAGGGUGAGAAUCCCGUAUUUGACCUUUACUUUCAACUUUGUGAUACACUUUCAAAGAGUCCGGAUUGUUUGGGAAUGCAGUCCAAAAUGGGUGGUAAAUUUCAUCUAAAGCUAAAUAUUGGCGAGAGACCGAUAGCGAACAAGUACCGUGAGGGAAAGAUGAAAAGAACUUUGAAAAGAGAGUUAAACAGUACGUGAAAUUGUCAAAAGGGAAGCGUUUGACACCAGUGUUGUUUUUCUGAAAAUCAAUUAAAGAACUGUUUAUGCUAAGCUGUUUAGACUUUAUCAGCUAUCUGUAUAGUUUUGAGCUUUUCUUUAAUGCACUUUUCAGUUAACAAGUCAACAUCAAUUUCUUUUGCUGUAAAAAAGCUUGAGGAAGGUGGCUUGAGAUUCGUCUUAAGUGUUUAUAGCCUCUUAGCCUAUGCAGUCGGAGAGAUUGAGGUCUGCAGCGUAGAUCCUUCGGGGCUAAAUGCAUUUGUGCUAAGUUAUAGCAUUUUAUAGACAACUUGUUGACUAUGAUUUGUCUUGUAGCUUACUCGCUUAUGUUAUUUUACCUACGCUUAGGAUGUUGACGCGCGUGUGUGCGUG